AGAGUUUGAUCCUGGCUCAGAAUGAACGCUGGCGGCGUGCCUAACACAUGCAAGUCGGAUGUGCCGCAAGGUGCAUGGCAGACGGGUGAGUAACGCGUGGGGAAUCUACCUCUUUGUGGGGAAUAACGCUCCGAAAGGAGUGGUAAUACCGCAUGAGACCCUCGGCUGGGAUGCUGGAGGUGAAACCUGGGGACCGCAAGGCCUGGGGCAAGGAGAGGAUCCUGCGUCUGAUUAGCUAGUUGGCGGGGUAAUGGCCCACCAAGGCGACGAUCAGUAGCCGGCCUGAGAGGGUGAUCGGCCACACUGGAACUGAGACACGGUCCAGACUCCUACGGGAGGCAGCAGUGGGGAAUUUUGCGCAACGGACGAGAGUCUGACGCAGCAACGCCGCGUGGGUGAUGAAGGUCUUCGGACUGUAAAACCCUGUCGUCAGGGACGAAGGUGGCACGACUAAUAAUC
rnacentral:rRNA from 1 species